rnacentral:rRNA from 1 species
AACGAACGCUGGCGGCAGGCUUAACACAUGCAAGUCGAGCGCCCCGCGAGGGGAGCGGCAGACGGGUGAGUAACGCGUGGGAAUCUACCCAUCUCUACGGAAUAACGCAUGGAAACGUGUGCUAAUACCGUAUACGUCCUUCGGGAGAAAGAUUUAUCGGAGACGGAUGAGCCCGCGUUGGAUUAGCUAGUUGGUGGGGUAAAGGCCUACCAAGGCGACGAUCCAUAGCUGGUCUGAGAGGAUGAUCAGCCACACUGGGACUGAGACACGGCCCAGACUCCUACGGGAGGCAGCAGUGGGGAAUAUUGGACAAUGGGCGCAAGCCUGAUCCAGCCAUGCCGCGUGAGUGAUGAAGGCCCUAGGGUUGUAAAGCUCUUUCACCGGUGAAGAUAAUGACGGUAACCGGAGAAGAAGCCCCGGCUAACUUCGUGCCAGCAGCCGCCGUAACAC